rnacentral:misc_RNA from 1 species
AGUGAAGCGGUCACUGGAAUCGGCAGCGGCGGAGAUCCUCCCCACCGCCUCCCUCGACGCCCUUCCCACUAAAUUCUACCAAGCUUUCGUCCUCCAAGGCCUCCGCGUCGACACCGUCGAGCCCGGCCGCCUCCUCUGCGCCCUCACCAUCCCUGCCCGCCUCCUCAAUACCGGCGGAUUCUUGCACGGCGGCGCCACCGCGUCGCUGGUGGAUCUGGUCGGGUCUGCGGCUUUUUAUACGGCUGGGGCGAAGACGAGUGGUGCGCCGGUGGAAAUUAGUAUAUCUUACCUCGAUGCGGCCUUCCUCCAUGAGGACAUAGAGAUCGAGGCCAAAGUCUUGCGAGCUGGAAAGGCUGUCGGGGUCACCAUGGUAGAGCUGAGGAAGAAGACUGGGAAGAUAAUUGCUCAGGGACGUCUUACUAAAUAUCUUGGUGUAACUAGCAAACUGUGAAUUUAUGUAUCAGUUACUGAAGCAUGAAUUGCAUGGUCACCGCAAUAAAAGGCUUAAUGUGCUUCCG